UGGCCCUGCCGCCUUGAACCCUCAUCCCCACCUCCAACAGACAGGAGUCUUCGGACGGGGACGAAUCAUCUGGGAUGUCCACGAUCUCUGACAUGAGCAGAGACCCACUGUCCAUGGAGACUAAAUACAUGAAGUGCACAAGGUCCAAGGAGAAAAUAUGGAUGCUGCAGGUGACCGUGGACAAAGUGCAGAUGAUGGUGGACAGAAUGCUCAGACCACACGCGCUGAAUAACAAGUCCUGUAGAACAAUACGGAACAUCAUUUGACCUGAAAACGAGAAGGAUCAAGAGGCUUUACCUUCAGUUGGUGUCUAACCGAGUGGCAGUCGGAAUUACGGUUGAGGACGAGGGUUCCAUCCUCUUUGCUGGAGCAGAUUUCACUAGGCGCGCAACACACACAACGGCCGCUCUCCACCUACACAAAAAAGAAAAAAAAGUGAAGUCAGUCUUUCCGAUGCUGCUAUCUGACCAAACACAAAAAUCUAAUCCUGGAAUAUUCCAUCUGUUCCGAAGGGCAUUUUCGCGCUCGCUGUGUUUACACCUGGCAGGUGAGCAUGGACUUGACCAUCUGCGCGUUCUGGCAGGAGAGCAUGGAGCCGGCCAGACUGAGGAUCACGCACACUGCAGACAGCAGCAUGAAAAGAGAAACCUGCGGAGGGACGGGGACACACCACCACAGAUUUUUAUUCUCUCUUUUCUUUUUAUCGCCAUAAUAUCAAAUUGGACCAAACUGAGAGUAUCGUUACAAUUUCCAUCUCUCCAUCAGUAUUCCUCCAGGGACAAACACAUUUCCAUCCUGGAGUAACUUUGCAAAUAUGUAAGCCAUAUUUCACAGGAAUGUAUCAAUAAUUCACAACUACAAGAGGAUCCAUCUGCGAGGGGUUGCCAGAUCGAUUAAUAAUACAAGACCCCUCGUGCGGACUGUCACGUUCAAUUGCUGUUUAUGGUGUCUAUUAAAAAAAAAAAA